UACGUAGGGUGCAAGCGUUAAUCGGAAUUACUGGGCGUAAAGCGUGCGCAGGCGGCUUUGCGAGACAGAUGUGAAAUCCCCGGGCUUAACCUGGGAACUGCAUUUGUGACUGCAAGACUCGAGUGCGGCAGAGGGGGGUGGAAUUCCACGUGUAGCAGUGAAAUGCGUAGAGAUGUGGAGGAACACCGAUGGCGAAGGCAGCCCCCUGGGUCGACACUGACGCUCAUGCACGAAAGCGUGGGGAGCAAACAGG
rnacentral:rRNA from 1 species